GUUCCAUGUAACCCGGGUGGCUCAAACCUUGGAGGAGGAGGUGGAGCCCAGCUGGCUCCCCCCACCAAACCUCAACCCAGAACCUCCUUGAAGGAGAAGGCUAGGGGUGUGGGCUUGCUGGGUACCUUGAGGAUCGGUUAACAUCUACAUUUCGUGACAGGGAAACCACGGUCUGGGCGCUUGGUCAUUCAUUUCCCUGUCACUGUAGCUAAGUUCAGGACUCAGCUCUGCCAACCAACCUGCUCUGUGAUUUUGGGAUGAAAGGGGAAAUGGAAGUGGCUCGAAGUGUGAAAUGGGGAAUGAAGCAUGUGCGCGGAUCACACUCGGCAGGUCCCAGACAAGGGGACCAGCUUGGAACAUACAGAGAAGAUGCUGAACCAAGAGAGGAGCUGCUUUUAUUCCCAUUUUUCAGAUGGGUAAACUGACACCCAAAGAGAAAUUCAUAGCCAGGUGCCCAAGAUCCAUCAACUCAGAACUGGAAUUACAACCAAAACCAACUCUAGGGAA